AAAAAUACCCACCUCAUUUUUGUGGUCUGGGAGCUCCUUUCUGCAGCCUUAUCUGAUCAACUCUGCUGGCAGCACCCACUGCUGGAAACUCUUUGCCUCCAGGCAUGUGCUUCUCCAGCACAAAGGCUCUGGAAGGCAAUCAGGCUGCCUCACGCCCCGACUCGUCCCGCAGAGAGCCGGGGUUUGCAGUGCUGUGCAAACCAGGCGCUCCUCGGCAGCACGUGGAGCUGGUGAUGGACCCCCAGGUUUGGGAAUCGAGGAGCCCAGCACCUUGAGAGCACCUCCCACGGGUAGGACUGAGCUGCUGCUUCUCUCACACCCACAGCAACUGGAGUUUUUCACUCUACAAUGAGUUUUCCAGUGGAGAGACCUUCCUCCACUCUCCACCCCACUGGCUGUCCUGGAGGCACCUGAGGAAGCUCCUGGUUUGCUUUCCAUCCCUGUGUUUGCUCCAGGAUUCCCCUUCCCCUGGCUCACAGGGUGGAGGAGGAGGAGAUAGUCCAGCUCUGCUCCUUCCACUUCCCACCUGGAUCGAAGGGAAAGGGCUGUUGGCAGCAGCCCAGGCCCUGCUGGGAAGGGACAUUUCACCUCCUGGCUGGCUCAGAAGGGGUGUUUGAUGCCCCCAUGGUUCCUCCUGCCCCUCCUGGGCUGUGUCUGUAGCACCCAGUGUUCCCCUGCAUGGACCUUCAAGGCUAAACCAGACCGAAGAGAAAACCUCUGGUUUUAUUUUUGUUUUUCCUGCCCUUGACAUUUCCCCGCUGUUCAGUGUCUUGCUGUUUACAACAAAACCUUGCCUUGCCCUGCUGGAAACCCCAGUAUUUGUAAACAUGAGAAUCAUGAAGUGAAAGCAGCCAGGAAGCAAGUUCCGAGGGGAUGGACUGGGCUGCUCCAACUGCUGCAGAAUAUCUCAGGAAAAGGGAAAUUUCACUGGAACAGGCCUUGGCUGGUGUGGUCUGAAAUCGUCUCCUCACCAGGGAUGGGAUGUGAAAGCAGCUGCUGCUCUGAGUGCAAGUGUUCCUCAGGCUGGUUUACAUUCUCAGGAAUCCAGCAGGGAUGUUUUAUUAAGGAAAAUAGAGUCCUUUAUGCUGUCAGCACC
rnacentral:lncRNA from 1 species